rnacentral:rRNA from 1 species
UACGGAGGGUGCGAGCGUUGUCCGGAAUUAUUGGGCGUAAAGGGCUCGUAGGCGGUUUGUCACGUCAGGAGUGAAAACUCGGGGCUCAACCCCGAGCCUGCUUCUGAUACGGGCAGACUGGAGGUAUGCAGGGGAGAACGGAAUUCCUGGUGUAGCGGUGAAAUGCGCAGAUAUCAGGAGGAACACCGGUGGCGAAGGCGGUUCUCUGGGCAUUACCUGACGCUGAGGAGCGAAAGUGUGGGGAGCGAACAGG